ACUACAUAUAAAAGUUAAUAAGAUCGCUCUCAUAUAUAUGCUCGAGCGCGGCCGCCGCGGGGGGGAAUCGCAUUAAAACCCCUUCACGCCCGCACAUGCACUCGGCGCCUUUUUUCACUCAGCUGGGCUACGGGUGAAAAAUUGGGAAAUUUGCUUUUCCUUUUCUAUAAACUCGGCAUGGUGCAAAACUCCAAAUUCUUUCCCUGAGAUGUAUUUUCCUUGUGAUACACGCGCAACCCCCGGAUUAUUAGCUGGUUGGCGGCUUAGAGCUUUUCAGACCCAAUAUCGGUUUCUGGUUUCAUAUGACAACCAAACACCCUGGAAGUGAGACAGGAUCCAGACUCCCGCGGGGGAGGAAUGGUUGGAUUUUGCGAAUUGGCCCAAAACAGACGAACCCGUUGAGAUGACGGAGAAAGGCCUGUGCUUUCAACCCUCUGUUUUCAUGGAGCAGGUAGUAGGUAUUGAGAAAGUGGAUAGCUUCUGCCACCCCCUGCCCGCAUACGGAGGGGUAUAGCCAGUUCGGAUGUUCGGAGAACCAAUGUUACUUAGCGGGCAUUAGCCGGCAAAAGGAGACAUCUGGGCAAUCUUGCGUGGCAAUGUCUGUAAUACUGCCGUUCUUGCUUCCUAGAGAUGUACGUGAAUUUCAGAGAGUAUGCAGUGAAUUCGGAUAAUAUCCGGAUAUCUCCAGAGCAGCGGCGGG
rnacentral:rRNA from 1 species